rnacentral:rRNA from 1 species
UGGGGAAUAUUGGACAAUGGACCAAGAGUCUGAUCCAGCAAUUCUGUGUGCACGAUGAAGUUUUUCGGAAUGUAAAGUGCUUUCAGUUGGGAAGAAAAAAAUGACGGUACCAACAGAAGAAGUGACGGCUAAAUACGUGCCAGCAGCCGCGGUAAUACGUAUGUCACGAGCGUUAUCCGGAUUUAUUGGGCGUAAAGCGCGUCUAGGUGGUUAUGUAAGUCUGAUGUGAAAAUGCAGGGCUCAACUCUGUAUUGCGUUGGAAACUGUAUAACUAGAGUACUGGAGAGGUAAGCGGAACUACAAGUGUAGAGGUGAAAUUCGUAGAUAUUUGUAGGAAUGCCGAUGGGGAAGCCAGCUUACUGGACAGAUACUGACGCUGAAGCGCGAAAGCGUGGGUAGCAAACAGGAUUAGAUACCCUGGUAGUCCACGCCGUAACGAUGAUUACUAGGUGUUGGGGGUCGAACCUCAGCGCCCAAGCAAACGCGAUAAGUAAUCCGCCUGGGGAGUACGUACGCAAGUAU